rnacentral:rRNA from 1 species
CUGAUCUCAAAUCAGGUAGGACUACCCGCUGAACUUAAGCAUAUCAAUAAGCGGAGGAAAAGAAACUAACAAGGAUUCCCCUAGUAACUGCGAGUGAAGCGGGAAAAGCUCAAAUUUAAAAUCUGGCGGUCUUUGGCUGUCCGAAUUGUAUUCUAAAGAAGCGUUUUCUGUGCUGGACCGUGUACAAGUCUCUUGGAACAGAGCGUCGUAGAGGGUGAGAAUCCCGUCUUUGACAUGGACUACCAGUGCUAUGUGAUGCGCUCUCAAAGAGUCGAGUUGUUUGGGAAUGCAGCUCAAAAUGGGUGGUAAAUUCCAUCUAAAGCUAAAUAUUGGCGAGAGACCGAUAGCGAACAAGUACCGUGAGGGAAAGAUGAAAAGCACUUUGGAAAGAGAGUUAAACAGUACGUGAAAUUGCUGAAAGGGAAACGCUUGAAGUCAGUCGCGUUAGUCAGAACUCAGCCUUGCUUUUGCUUGGUGCACUUUCUGGUUGACGGGCCAGCAUCAGUUUCGAUUGUGGGAAAAAGGUUGGAGGAAGGUGGCACCUUCGGGUGUGUUAUAGCCUCUGAUUGUAUACCAUGGUUGGGAUUGAGGAUCUCAGCACGCGUAAGCUGUGCUAAGGAUGCUGGCGUAAUGGCUUUAAACGACCCGUCUUGAAACACGGACCAAGGAGUCUAACAUGCCUGCGAGUGUUUGGGUGGAAAACCCGAGCGCGUAAUGAAAGUGAAAGUUGGGAUCUCCGUCGUGGAGAGCACCGACGCCCGGACCAGACCUUCUGUGACGGAUCUGCGGUAGAGCAUGUAUGUUGGGACCCGAAAGAUGGUGAACUAUGCCUGAAUAGGGUGAAGCCAGAGGAAACUCUGGUGGAAGCUCGUAGCGAUUCUGACGUGCAAAUCGAUCGUCAAAUUUGGGUAUAGGGGCGAAAGACUAAUCGAACCAUCUAGUAGCUGGUUCCUGC